AGGAAAUUGCUGUUCAGAAUUCCUCUGCCUCCGUUGUAGACAAUUUUAAGAAUGCAGCAUUCCAUAUGAGAGAGACACAUAUGAGUGCACACACAUACCCUAAAGCAGAAUUGCAACAUUUACAUUAGUUUCCUGUCUUAAGAUCUCACUGGGGACUAAAAAUCAGUGAGAGUCUGCAUUGCACCCCAGAAGUGUCUGCUUUUCACUGAUAGUGACUACAGAAGAGCACUGCAGAACUGAUGGGAUGAAACGGUGCCUGCUGACCCAUGGAAGGCCAGAUAAAAUGCCCGAACUCUGCUUCCCAGUUUUGCACAAGCAAGAAGGGAAAUGCAGGGCAAGUCAUCUAUAGCCACAGCAGCAGAGUGACAUGAGUGACAGGAUGAUGCCCCCAGAAUACCUGUUAAAAUGGUGCUGACAACCAUGGCCAAGCUCCAGCUUUACCUUCCAGAAAUCAGAAUGGGAUACUGCAUAUGGAAGAUGAAUUCCUGACAUGGUUCAGAAGUAGCAGAUCAGAUCUCAGAUACCAGCCUGGGGCUCCAGAGGACUCAGCUCCAGCAAACUCUACAGCUACCUGUGGGUAAUCACACAGUAUGUGCCUGACUCCCCUCUUACUCUGCUUUUUCAACACACCCAAAAGAAUUACUGAUAUAAGUGGUUAUAACACUUCUCCGAGACACUGCAUUUUUCUCACCAACCAGGUACUGGUCCCAGGAACCUGCCUGUAGUUUUGUAGUACUGUAGUGGAAACACCACCCUCCCCACCCCCCCAUCAAAACUAAAAAUUAAUUACAUUAUUUCAAUUAUCAGUCCAUGCUUCAACUUUCUCUCCCCCUUUUAGUUUUUUUACCAAAAGACAAUGAAACAUUUUGUUGCAGAUUAUGAGUUGCCCAAGUCAAACACUGGUCUUGCUUUAUUACAAUACAGACAAAAUAAUCAAACUCAUGUGGCACCAUACCUGUCCCACCUGCAAAUCAGAGGGCCUAAAUCACAAACUUCUGUGUUAAAAUUAUAUUUGAUACUUACCAAUGUAUAAUGUAUGUGUUGGUUCAACACAGCCUGGUUUUUGGUGGAGUGGAAGAAAAGCUGCUAGAAACUUCUAUGUUCAGCACAGAGCAAAUUGCUGAAGGCUCUGAUAAUGGGCAGGUUAUUAGCCCAAUUAGACAAGUUGGUAAUGCCUCUGAUGACAUAUUUAAGAAAGGAAAAACCAGGGGAAAGUCUCUUUUCUUCUCCUGAGGGGUGGUGAGCCGGUCGCCAGGGCCCAUCGCAGUGGGGGGGCCGUGUGCCCGGGGCCCUCCCGAGGCCAGGGCCGUGCAGCCAGGGCCGCCCACACGGUGCCAGCAGGGACCACAUGGCCAGCGAUGAACAUGGUGAACAAUUCCCAAUAUGAAGUCCAGAUGAAAUCAACCUUUUCAGUGCAGCAAAGCUCUCAAAGAACUUUUCAACUGAUGGAACUUGAGAACAAAUGAACCUACAAACACCAACUUUCUCCAGAGUCAGAGAAAAGGGAAAAGUGAGGACACAUUAAGAGAACCAACAUAGUGGCACUGAGGUCAGUGAAAAGAAGGAGAGGGAGGAGGCGCUCCGGGUGUCGGAGCUAAGAUUUUUUCUACAAGCCAUGGUGAGGGCUAUGGUACAACAAACUGUUUCCCUGUAAUUCAUGAGGUGCACGGGGGGAUGCAGAGAUCCACUUGCAGCCCCUGAGAAAGAGUGUCCACGCUGGAGCGAGGGGAUGCUGAAAAGCUGUAAUCUAGUAAGGAACAGAGAGAGAGAGAGGACCCUUUCUUCCAAACUAGAACAGCUCACCCUAUGAACUAAAAUGACCCACACUGGGCAGUUGUGGGAAGACUGCUUCGCCCGUGGGAGGGACUCACGUUACAGCAGGUUCAGGCAGGACUGCUACACAUGAAGUUGAAACCAUGCUGGAAAAGUUUGCAGAGAACUAUCUCCCAUGCAAAGGAUCCCACAGCACAGCAGAAGAAAGAAACUCUCUUCCUCAUGCGUACCGGAAAAAG